rnacentral:rRNA from 1 species
GUAGGUCCCGAGCGUUGUCCGGAUUUAUUGGGCGUAAAGGGAGCGCAGGCGNUCAGGAAAGUCUGGAGUAAAAGGCUAUGGCUCAACCAUAGUGUGCUCUGGAAACUNUCUGACAUGAGUGCAGAAGGGGAGAGUGGAAUUCCAUGUGUAGCGGUGAAAUGCGUAGAUAUAUGGAGGAACACCAGUGGCGAAAGCGGCUCUCUGGUCUGUCACUGACGCUGAGGCUCGAAAGCGUGGGUAGCGAACAGGAUUAGAUACCCUGGUAGUCCACGCCGUAAACGAUGAGUGCUAGGUGUUAGGCCCUUUCCGGGGCUUAGUGCCGGAGCUAACGCAAUAAGCACUCCGCCUGGGGAGUACGACCGCAAGGUUGAAACUCAAAGGAAUUGACGGGGGCCCGCACAAGCGGUGGAGCAUGUGGUUUAAUUCGAAGCAACGCGAAGAACCUUACCAGGUCUUGACAUCCCGAUGCUAUUCUUAGAGAUAGGAAGUUACUUCGGUACAUCGGAGACAGGUGGUGCAUGGUUGUCGUCAGCUCGUGUCGUGAGAUGUUGGGUUAAGUCCCGCAACGAGCGCAACCCUUAUUGUUAGUUGCCAUCAUUAAGUUGGGCACUCUAGCGAGACUGCCGGUAAUAAACCGGAGGAGGGUGGGGAUGACGUCAAAUCAUCAUGCCCCUUAUGACCUGGGCUACACACGUGCUACAAUGGUCGGUACAACGAGUUGCGAGCCGGUGACGGCAAGCUAAUCUCUGAAAGCCGAUCUCAGUUCGGAUUGGAGGCUGCAACUCGCCUCCAUGAAGUCGGAAUCGCUAGUAAUCGCGGAUCAGCACGCCGCGGUGAAUACGUUCCCGGGCCUUGUACACACCGCCCGUCACACCACGAGAGUUUGUAACACCCGAANU